rnacentral:rRNA from 1 species
UACGUAGGGGGCAAGCGUUGUCCGGAUUUAUUGGGCGUAAAGAGCGUGUAGGCGGUUUGGUAGGUCCGUUGUGAAAACUCGAGGCUCAACCUCGAGACGCCGAUGGAAACCAUCAGACUAGAGUCCGGAAGAGGAGAGUGGAAUUCCUGGUGUAGCGGUGAAAUGCGUAGAUAUCAGGAGGAACACCGGUGGCGAAGGCGGGUCUCUGGGCCGAUACUGACGCUGAGGAGCGAAAGCAUGGGUAGCGAACAGG